AAUGAACGCUGGCGGCGUGCCUAAUACAUGCAAGUCGAACGCAGUGGGGACGGGUGAGUAACACGUGGGUAACCUCCCAUCAGAUGGGAUAACACUUGGAAACAGGUGCUAAACCGAUACUGAUGGAUGGACUCGCGGUGCAUUAGCUAGACGGUGAGGGAACGGGUCACCAAGGACACGAUGCAUAGCCGACCUGAGAGGGUGAGCGGCCACACUGGGACUGAGACACGGCCCAGACUCCGACGGGAGGCAGCAGUAGGGAAUCUUCGGCAAUGGACGAAAGUCUGACCGAGCAACGCCGCGUGAGUGAAGAAGGUUUUCGGAUCGUAAAACUCUGUUGUUAGAGAAGCGGUAUCUAACCAGAAAGCCACGGCUAACUACGUGCCAGCAGCCGCGGUAAUUC
rnacentral:rRNA from 1 species